AGAGUUCUACUCUUAGGAUCCAAAGUGGAUUGAAGAAGUCUCCAAUUGCCCUUAAGAAGCUCUGGGUGGGGAGCCUGAGUGGGAGCAGGAGAGGAACCAUUACCCCAGAGAAUUCAGCCUGGAGCCAAAGCAAGUGGGAAAAGGUCACCUCAUCCACCAUGUCUUUAGGCAGAACUGAUUCAGCACACACCAACAUAGAAGACUUUUAUUAAAGUUCCCAGCAUGGCGUGCCCUCUCUCUGCCUCUUUGCAUCCUACCCAUCCUUCACCACCUCGCCACUCCAUAAAGCCCUCUCUGAUCACACCAGUCUGCAGCGAUCUCGCCCUGCUCUGAACACAUAAGCGCUCAUUAUCUGCACCACUCAUUUUGCAAUUAAUCGUGUACUGCCUUGUGACAUCGCUUCUAGUGCUUUGUCUGACUGUUAUCCAACUUCUCACCUGCUGACGGAUGGAACCCUUGAUGACAAUAUGAGUGACUGGACAGCAGGAGCUACAGCUCCUACAUCUCUGUGUCCCUAACAUUACCUGGCAGAGGCCUCAACACCAACAUGGAAGACAGCUAGGUAUACUUCAAUUCUACCUCCUCUGAUAAAACUUAUCCCAGGCGUCCGGCUCCCACCUGAGAUUGCAGGAAUCUUCAAGCCUUAACAUAUCUACUGGGCCUCAAGAUGCAGCAGGCCCUCAGAGAGCCAUCGCAACCAUCACAACACUCCUGGAGAGCCCCAGGGAACGUACAUAUCUUCAUUCCACCUACGUUCUUAUGAAGUAGCUUGUCUUCUCCUUCAUUUAAAAAAUGAAGAAACUCUCCACUCUCACUGCUUCAUUUGACUACCCUUUAAAAAAAAAAGGAGAAACUGAGACCUAUAAAUUUUAUCAAAACCCUGAGCCUUGAAAAAAUAUAUAUAUAAGAAAUAAACAAAUAGAAAACAA
rnacentral:lncRNA from 1 species